UGUUCUGUGGCUUAGUUGGUUAAAGCGCCGAACUAGCCAUACGGAGUCGUGGGUUCGAAUCCCAUCAAUUCAA
rnacentral:tRNA from 1 species